rnacentral:rRNA from 1 species
UACGAAGGGGGCUAGCGUUGUUCGGAAUUACUGGGCGUAAAGCGCGCGCAGGCGGUCUUCCAAGUCAGUGGUGAAAGCCCGGAGCUCAACUCCGGAACUGCCAUUGAAACUGUAAGACUUGAGGAUGAGAGAGGUGAGUGGAAUUCCCAGUGUAGAGGUGAAAUGCGUAGAUAUCGGGAGGAACACCAGUGGCGAAGGCGACUACCUGGCCUGUUCUUGACGCUGAGGCGCGAAAGCUAGGGGAGCAAACGGG